UAAAUAUAUAUAUACGUGUGUGUGUGUGUGUGUGUGUGCAGCACCUCAGCAUUCCAUUUGCGUCUCAUUUGUUGUCUGGUCGCUGUCUGUCUCUUUGUCUGAGUGUCCGCGUAUCUUUGUAUCUUAUAGAUACAUAGCGCAUUCUAAAGUGUCUACAAGUGAUGAGCACGGCAUUUAGUUGCAAUUUUCAGUUUCACUUGGCGACGACGUCGACGCCGGUGAAAAAGAAACAAAUACGAAGACAAAAAAACAAAAACAACAGCUACAAAGUAAAAGACUUGCAUAGACGAAUAAAAAUAAAAAUAAAUAAAAUGCAAACGGGCAAAAACAAAGGCGAUAUAGACAUGAAUUGCUAUAAAAAUGUGAGCUAUGCUAGAUGCAAAUGCUAAAAGCGAGAAAGAAGCCGAAGUAGAAAUCUACGGCCAGCCCAAAGCCGACUGACAAACUAUUACAAAGAACAAAUAGAUUGUGUAUAGGACAUAUAUAAUCAAAUAUAUAUUGUUAGGAACACCAAUAACAUUCAAUUUAAAUAAUUAAAAGCUAACCUGCUAUCUGGGAUUCAAACAAGCUCCUCUCCUCCUGGGGAAUGUGGAUGUUAAAUAUAAAUUUGAAUUGAAAACUAAAUUUUGAUUUGCCUGAAACGUUAAGAAACCAUCAUAUUAAUUCUACUUGAAAUGAACAAGUAAAUUUUAUAAUCACUUUUCGUAAUUAUUGGUAUAGGAAACUACAAAUAAAAAGAUGUAAGCCCACUAAAUUUUAUUUUUAAUUAUAUAACAGCACAUUUAAUCUUUGAUACGCCUUUCGAAACACAAAGUGUUGGCGCUGGGGCUAGGGUUCGAGAACUAAUUCGAUUAUUCGAAAAAAUGCAUGCGCUGGCAACAUGAACAAUGUCUGAGCGGGGUCAGAGUUUAGACGCCAGACAGAUAAGUAUAUCAAAAAGUCAUACAGUCAUACAGUCGGGGUAAUUACAAACUAGUACUCGUAAGUUAGCCACUGCAUGUCAAACUGUGUCAUAUGGCAUAUUAAAAUCAAAGUCUUGAAAAGAAAAUGCCUCAAACAGCCGUGCAUUAAAUAAUCAACAUGAUAACCCCAAAAGUCGCUCGGGCAGUACAUUCUGUUGGAACGACCGAAACAAACUAAAACUCAAAUGAAGCUGACGCUAAAACCGAAACUGAUAAUCUGUCACACAGGCACAAUAUAAAUACGUACAUAUCAUAUUGUGUACAUGCAUGGAAUCAAAUACAAAUAUUUAUUUUUAAUGCCCUAUUAAAAUAGAAUUCUAGUAGUGCGAUUGCGGCCAGCGACGAGACAACAAACACAAAAUUAAGUUUGCUUAUCAACUAUGCAUGUGUGUGUUUGUGCAUUUGACUGAAUGACAACAACAAGAACCUAACUAGGAUUGAUAAGGCGACGAAACAGCACUGUUCUGACAGUGUGUGGCUGUGCAUGGGUCAGAGUUCAAACAUAAUACCGUACUUAGACAAAUCUGGACGGACCAUAAUCGAAUCUAAGUGGAAACCUGCUUAUCAGCAGGUCAGCUCCGAGCUCAGCUCAAAUAGCUAUUAAAUGGGAACAGCAAGUGCUCGAAAUGCAUGACUUUUAAAAAAAAACCUCUUAAGUAAUUUUUGAUUUUGGUAAAUGGUAUACAGCUUGACAUCAGAGCUAGACAAAUAAAAUAGCCGGAAUGCUCUAAUUUAUCUAGCACAAAAUGGAAUAAUGCUUAAAUUGAUAUUUCAGAGAGAUUGAGCUUUUAAUGAUCCGUAUUAUUUUUCUGAUUAGUUUUCGCAUUAAAGGUAAUUUUGAAAGUUUCCUCCCAAAGAGUAUCAAAUAGUUGUGCUUUACUCUGAAACUAAGUUUCUAGGAAGAUUUGUAUUACGUCGUAGCGGACCCGGGGUCUUUUGGAGAGCAACAGGUUGCUGCCGUUGGCAACCGGGAAUCCAGUUAUGUACUAGCUUCAGCUUCGGUGAUUCCAGGGCAACAACAAGAACGAGCGCCAAGUAUUUGACGCCGCUGGGGCUAUCAAUGCAAUUGAACUCUGGUAACGGGCAACUGACAACCAACAGCAAUCGAAGAGAGAACGAUAAAGAGAGACACAAGUAUGAAGGAGAGUGAGAGAGAAAUAGUCGUAUGCAUGUGAAUUCAUUUGUAGGUACACAUACGGUAUAUAUGUGAAUACAUAUAGAACAAGUAUAACAACUUGCUGGAUGAUUUGAAACUAGUGCCGAGAUCUGUUGGACUCAUUUUAAUUGCAAGUAAUCUUUAUAAAUAGAAAACAUGACGAAGACACCCAAGAACGUAAAGCAAAGACCGAAGAAGGUCCCCUUCGACUCCGAACCGAGUCCGAUUUAUGCAUGAAUGCGGUGGACAACGCUCGCACUAACGACCAAUGCAUAAAUCAAUGAGGAGGGCUUCAGAAUUCGAAGGGGAUAUAACCAGGCAAAAACUAAACGUGGAAGCCAAUGCGAAAAAUGAACUGGCACUGGCCAUAAAUGAGUAAUUGCUGACAUUGCCGUAGCCAUUGCCAUGUUCAGCGGAGGCAGAGACAGAGGCAUAGGCAGAGGCAAAGCCAGAGGCUGCAGCUGAAGGAAACAAGCGGCGUUCAGUUCUGGAGUCCGGUUCCGUUUUUAGCGGAGACAACAACCCAUAAAUGUGCGCCUAGACAAAGGCCUAAAACAAACAACCAAGGCUUAAGCAGCAGCAAUACUUAGUGACCAUCCAUGCCAGUGCUUGGCAUUCAAUUACAAUUACAGCCCCCAUGCCGACAACAACGGCAACAGACCGACUGGACUUCAGCAGAAAAAUGCUUGGUGUCUCUUGGAGUGUUGCUGUAUUGGUAGCUUGGAUAACUUGGAGUCUUGGGCUUGGCUUUUUGGUCUUGGUCUUGCGGCUGACGGCCGGCGUGGCUUCCAGCUCCAGCGCCAACUCCCAACUCCAUCUCCGUCAGCAUUUCUAUUUGAAUCUGUUGGUGCGAUGCGCGCGUCUCAUGUUGACAAACUCACUUAACAAAUCCACAACUACUUAUACAACCCGCAAUACAACAAACAGUAAUUUUUCUCGCUUCAUUGGCAUCGUCUGCCGAUUGCUGACUGCCGACUGCUGACUGCCGGGAAGAAGCCUGUAAAGCGAGCAUAAGCAUGUCGGCGGUUUGUUUAGUCAACUUGCUCCGUGAAGCCAGUGGAGCGGCAGGGACUGGCGCGAGAGGAGAGGGUAUAUGGGCAGACUGAGAGGGGCGACUUAAAACUUGGCUGCUGCCAGUUAAGUAAACAGAGAAUUUGUAUUGUACAAAGGCCACAGACAGACACAGACACACACACACACACACACAUACAGCGACAGACGCAGACACAGAUACAGAUACAGCAGCUACUCGGCAUUGCGGCUGACCGUUGUUUGCCUUGCUCUAGAGUUCUCCAUGGCUACAGAACACAGCCUGGGCGCGGCUGCAUCCAUAUAGGCUCUUAAUGAUAUAGCUAUACCAAAAUAUAUAUGCGUAUAUAUAAAAAAAAAUGUCAUGAAAUGAAACGAAUUUCGUCUAUGCCAUCGCCAGCAUCCAAUGCACAUUAUAAAAGUCCAAGAACAACA